AGUGAACGCUGGCGGUAGGCCUAACACAUGCAAGUCGAACGGCAGCACAGUAAGAGCUUGCUCUUACGGGUGGCGAGUGGCGGACGGGUGAGGAAUACAUCGGAAUCUACUUUUUCGUGGGGGAUAACGUAGGGAAACUGACGCUAAUACCGCAUACGACCUACGGGUGAAAGCAGGGGAUCUUCGGACCUUGCGCGAUUGAAUGAGCCGAUGUCGGAUUAGCUAGUUGGCGGGGUAAAGGCCCACCAAGGCGACGAUCCGUAGCUGGUCUGAGAGGAUGAUCAGCCACACUGGAACUGGGACACGGUCCAGACUCCUACGGGAGGCAGCAGUGGGGAAUAUUGGCCAAUGGGCGCAAGCCUGCUCCAGCCAUACCGCGUGGGUGAAGAAGGCCUUCGGGUUGUAAAGCCCUUUUGUUGGGAAAGAAAAGCAGCAGGUUAAUACCCCGCUGUUCUGACGGUACCCAAAGAAUAAGCACCGGCUAACUUCGUG
rnacentral:rRNA from 1 species